rnacentral:rRNA from 1 species
GAUGAACGCUGGCGGCGUGCUUAACACAUGCAAGUCGAACGGAAAGGCCCAAGCUUGCUCGGGUACUCGAGUGGCGAACGGGUGAGUAACACGUGGGUGAUCUGCCCUGCACUUCGGGAUAAGCCUGGGAAACUGGGUCUAAUACCGGAUAGGACCACUUCUUGGAUGUUGUGGUGGAAAGUUUUUCGGUGUGGGAUGAGCUCGCGGCCUAUCAGCUUGUUGGUGGGGUAAUGGCCUACCAAGGCGUCGACGGGUAGCCGGCCUGAGAGGGUGUACGGCCACAUUGGGACUGAGAUACGGCCCAGACUCCUACGGGAGGCAGCAGUGGGGAAUAUUGCACAAUGGGCGCAAGCCUGAUGCAGCGACGCCGCGUGGGGGAUGACGGCCUUCGGGUUGUAAACUCCUUUCGCUAGGGACGAAGCUUAUUUUGUGACGGUACCUGGAGAAGAAGCACCGGCUAACUACGUG